UGGGGAAUAUUGCACAAUGGGGGAAACCCUGAUGCAGCGAUGCCGCGUGAACGAAGAAGGUAUUCGUAUCGUAAAGUUCUGUCCUAUGGGAAGAUAAUGACAGUACCAUAGAAGAAAGCUCCGGCUAAAUACGUGCCAGCAGCCGCGGUAAUACGUAUGGAGCGAGCGUUGUCCGGAAUUAUUGGGCGUAAAGGGUACGCAGGCUGUUUAAUAAGUCGAAUGUUAAAGAUCGGGGCUCAACCCCGCAAAGCAUUGGAAACUGAUAAACUUGAGUAGUGGAGAGGAAAGUGGAAUUCCUAGUGUAGUGGUGAAAUACGUAGAUAUUAGGAGGAAUACCAGUAGCGAAGGCGACUUUCUGGACACAAACUGACGCUGAGGUACGAAAGCGUGGGGAGCAAACAGG
rnacentral:rRNA from 1 species